rnacentral:lncRNA from 1 species
AGAAGGUUAAUGUGUAACAGUCAGUCACAAAAAUGGUCAAAAUGCUUCCUCCUUUACGCUUUCUCAGCUGUGCUGGAACUGCCGCAAGGACUUGGGGAUCAGUCACUCUGUGUGAGGAGUGUUAAAUGUAAAGCUUGGGGACUGCCGUGAUUUGUGGGCCUCCCGGGCCACCCCCAUCAUCUGUGGGCGCCCUGGGCCACCCCCCUUCACUUUGCCUCUGUCAGAUGUUCCUGCGCGGUGCCCUCAGCAACGUGUCCCUCUAGAAUUGUGUAACUCGGCUGCUGGCUUUCUACUUGGCCUCUCAAAGAGUGUUCCUUUGGAGAUUUUCUC